rnacentral:lncRNA from 1 species
CGUUGCACCCUCAGUGUUAUCGAAGAUUCUGAAAACGACGCUUCUAAGGGGGCUGUCUCUGCAGGUGACGACCCGGCAGCCUCUUCUCCGCGGUGUGCCCAGGCGCAAGGACAGGGUGACGCCUACGCAGCCAGGAGGAGCAGCACUUCUGUCAGUGCACGGCCCCACCUCCUCCAGGGAGCCCCAGCCGGCUCAGGUGUCCACGCGGGUGUCCUCGUGCCACGCCCUCGCUCUCCAAGCCACGCUCUUGGCCACAACCGCGGCGUUAGAACCCCGCGAGAGGGGAAUGAGGGACGCGACCGAGGCAGCAGCGCCCACUGGGCUCCGCAGACCGCCAAGGCCCUGAGUUUAGGACGCUGCUGCGGAAUGAUGCCAAUCUGCGCGUCCGCUACACGCUAUCCAAGUAAUGAUUGGUCUGAUCAACUUUGCUCUAGGAUAUAUCUGGAUACGUUUAUUUAUCAGGCAAUAUACUUCAUUUUCAUUGACCUACAUCCCUCUAACCUUGUUUUCAGGAUACCCAUUCUGGGCAUCCUUAAUUUAUGUUAUAUCAGGAAUCUUUGCAAUAGAAGCGGAGAAGAAGCGUUACCCAAUAUUGGUAAGUCAGAAUGAUUGGAACAAUUUGAGAGAAAAUAUUUGAUUUGUCAAAACCAAGAGUAUCAGAAAGGAGGAGAUAUUAUCAUUUCUUCUUGCAUUUCAGCUUCAACCUGGGAUUGCUUUCUCUCUAGCUGAGAAUUUUCUCUAAGUAUUUCUUUUAGCACAAUCAUGCUGACAUUAAAUUGUCUCAGCUUUUGUUAGCUUGAAAACAGCCUUAUACUGGUUUUAUUCUGAAAGAUUCUUAAGCUGUAUGUGGAAUACUAGUUCAGCAAUUAUUUUAUUUUACUUGAGAACUUUAAAAUUCCAUUCUCUCAUGUUCUGACUACAAUCUUUAUCAUGUGAAAUGUCUCUAAGUCUUAUUUUGCUCAUGCUAGUGUAUUGUGACUUUUUUCUCAUACCACUUUUACCAAUUUCUCCUUGCCUUUAGUUUUCAACAGAUUUACUAUGAAAUAACUAGAUAUGGUUUACUUUAUGUUAUUUGGGAUUUACCAAUUAUAUGUGUUUAUAUGGAUUAAAUAUCUAGAUUGAUGUUUUUCAUCCAUCUGGGAAAAUUGUUAGUCAUUUUCUCUUCAAAUACUGCUUUUGCAAGAUUACUUUUCCUUUCUACUUCCAGAACUCCAGAAUCCAGAAUUCUAUAAUAAUUCAUAAUUCUCUGAAUUAUUUCUUCAUUUUUGCUCCAUUUUUCUGCUUUCUUAAAAAUAUUAAUAAUAGUUGUUUUAAAGUCCCUGGAAGUUUGAAAUCCAGUAAUUGGAUCACUUAAUAAAUUGUUCUAUUGGGUUUUUUCCCCUAGGAUU